AACGAACGCUGGCGGCAUGCCUAACACAUGCAAGUCGAACGAGAUCUUCGGGUCUAGUGGCGCACGGGAGCGUAACGCGUGGGAAUCUGCCCUUUGGUUCGGAAUAACAGUUGGAAACGACUGCUAAUACCGGAUGAUGACGAAAGUCCAAAGAUUUAUCGCCAGAGGAGGAGCCCGCGUAGGAUUAGCUAGUUGGUGUGGUAAAGGCGCACCAAGGCGACGAGCCUUAGCUGGUCUGAGAGGAUGAUCAGCCACACUGGGACUGGGACACGGCGCGAACUCCUACUGGAGGCAGCAGUGGGGAAUAUUGGACAAUGGGCGAAAGCCUGAUCCAGCAAUGCCGCGUGAGUGAUGAGGGCCUUAGGGUUGUAAAGCUCUUUUACCCGGGAUGAUAAUGACAGUACCGGGAGAAUAAGCUCCGGCUAACUCCGUGCCAGCAGCCGCGGUAA
rnacentral:rRNA from 1 species